ensembl:lncRNA
CAGAGGACGCUGGGGUUUGUUGAUUCUACCCUAUCCCGGCCUUCAUACUCAUCAAUACUUCCUCCUUGAACGCCCUCCUUCUCCUGCCCCCCCCCCCCCGGAACAAGAAGCUGCUCACAGCAACAGGAAGAAACAUGGAAGCACCACCUCCAUUUGGAUGGAGAUUAGAAGUAUCUACAAUGUGCCAAACAUAGGGAGUUUAAUUUAAUUAUGAUAAAAAAAAAAUUGUGCACAAGGAUGUGGCCCAGACCGUUGACAUACAGGCGCCCGUUACGGCUGAUCAACGCGUCUCUGAAGGAACACAUCGGGCUCCUGCUUCCCCUUCCGGUCGUUGAGCUUGAGGGCCAGCGGACUCUCCUUCAAGGUGGGACCGGGCGCCUGUGGGCCGCACUGGGCGGCUGAGAGAUCUGCUGCUCAGCAGCCAGCCCGAUGACGGAGGUGCAGCCUUAUGAAGCUCUGGAGCGUGGCGGCGCCGACCUCCCAUAAUGCAACAGGUCCUGACAGCUGAUCAGUGCGUUAGGCUAGCAGGGAGCUAGCUGCUACGGGGCGGGGCAGUGGGCGGGGCCAACCCCUCACUGCUCAGCCACAUGCUCCUUUAUUGGAUAUAACAAUGACUCUAAAGUACAACAGUACCGAUUAAGAACUUGUGUGGGUCUCCCCAGGACCCGUGUGUUUGGGCCGGAGGGAUUCUGUCUCUCAGAACGAUGGCAGCUCUUAAUCCCGUUCUGUAUGGAGCUCUGACCAGGCUUCAUGGGAUGAGCGUGUGCGUGUUUGCAUACUGGAUACGUGCAUGUGUUAUGGGGUAUUCGUGUAUAUGUAUUUGUGUGUGUGUGUCGAGUCAAUCUGUGGUUUUAAUUUUACUUUGGGGUUUAAGAAAAUACACUGGAAAAAAGAAGAAAUUAACGGACAAAAAAUAGUGAUUUAAUUUUAAAUUGGGUGCGGAAGGACUCACCAGCUCAACUAAUGGUUGACGCAAAAAUAAGCUACGUAAUACACGCGACGCAGACACGAGCAGCAGGUGUUUUAAUUGAGCUUCAAGGAGGCACGAGAGAGAACAAGAGGACUGUUAGAAAACCACAGCAAACGCGUGUAAUAAAAACUCUUGUAUUGUACAUACUGAACAUCUUUGAAAUCUGGAGAGGCAGCCGGUAAGAGAAUGUAGCCUACUUCCGGUCUUUUCCAUCAAAGUCUGCCGCUGCUCCGGUAACGUUGUUUGUGCUAUUAAUAGCUUCUAACCGCAGCAUUCGUUGCAAGUGGGGAUGCUAAUGCUGUCUGCCUAUACCGUGAACUGUAAACUAAGUUGUCACUUGUUAGAAAUAAGGUGAUGGUGAGGCUGCAGUAGCCGUUUUGUAUAAGUGAUGGUUUAUGCAUUUAAUACUUUAUUAUUGAAUGUUCCACAAUUGAAAAAUGUAAUUUCUGCGUUGUUUGUGUACUUUUUAAGUUUAAAAUUCCAGUAUAUUUUGUACAAGAAUUUAUAUCUGAGAAAGUCAAUUAUUUUGCACAUGUUGGUGUCGGUUUAUUGUUGUGUGGAUUGCUGAUAUUCAUGUGUGUUUUCUAUGUUUCUGUUUAUCUUUAAAGGUUUUUUACCUAAAGGUUAAUGGCAAGAGAAAAUAGCGAGCUACUGUUUAACUGAAAAUAAAAAGGAAAGAAAAGUGAAAACGUAGCUACUGCCUGGGACUCAAGUCAUUACAUUUUGAGUAGAAUCCAGUUUUCCCAAAACCUCCAAUAGAUGUCAGUUCCUUUUUCAAGUUGGGGAAAAAGUACAAAACAGCAAAAACCACGGACAACUUGACAGUGUGUGUGUGUGCGUGCGUGCGUGCGUGCGUGCGUGCGUGUGUUCGUGCGUGUGUGUGUGUGUGUUUAUUCUCAUACCUGUCUCACUGCCUGUGUUUAAAUGAUGCAUAUGCAUGUUUCAGUACAUCCUGAUGUACUUUAUGCAGAUGUCCUUGUCUUGAAUGUGUUUGUUCUGUUAUUUGUGAGGGUUGUAACAGUGUUAGGGUUAGGGUUAGUGUAUAUGAGGUUGUAUCAGAGUGUGUAUAUCAGAGUGUCUAUAUGAGUGCUUCUGUUGAUGCGUCCACAUUUCAUCAUCACGUACUCAUGUGUUUGUAUGCAC